UACGGGGGGGGGCGAGCGUUGUUCGGAAUUACUGGGCGUAAAGGGUGCGUAGGCGGCUUUCUAAGUCGGAUGUGAAAACUCUGGGCUCAACCCAGAGCCUGCAUCCGAAAACUGGAGAGCUAGGGUUCGUGGAGGGGGAAAGCGGAAUUCCUGGUGUAGCGGUGAAAUGCGUAGAUAUCAGGAGGAACACCGGGUGGCGAAGGCGGCUUUCUGGACAAGAUACCGACGCUGAGGCACG
rnacentral:rRNA from 1 species